UACGUAGGGGGCAAGCGUUAUCCGGAUUUACUGGGUGUAAAGGGGGCGCAGACGGCGCGGCAAGUCCGGAGUGAAAUCCCAGGGCCCAACCCUGGGGCUGCUCUGGAAACUGCCGGGCUGGAGUGCUGGAGGGGCAGGCGGAAUUCCUAGUGUAGCGGUGAAAUGCGUAGAUAUUAGGAGGAACCCCGGUGGCGAAGGCGGCCUGCUGGACAGCGACUGACGUUGAGGCCCGAAAGCGUGGGGAGCAAACAGG
rnacentral:rRNA from 1 species